UGCGGAGGGAUCAUUACACAAUAAAAUAUGAAGGCUGUACGCGGCUGUGCUCUCGGGCCAGUUUUGCGGAGGCUGAAUUAUUUAUUACCCUUGUCUUUUGCGCACUUGUUGUUUCCUGGGCGGGUUCGCCCGCCACCAGGACCACAUCAUAAACCUUUUUUAUGCAGUUGCAAUCAGCGUCAGUAUAACAAAUGUAAAUCAUUUACAACUUUCAACAACGGAUCUCUUGGUUCUGGCAUCGAUGAAGAACGCAGCGAAAUGCGAUACGUAGUGUGAAUUGCAGAAUUCAGUGAAUCAUCGAAUCUUUGAACGCACAUUGCGCCCUUUGGUAUUCCAAAGGGCAUGCCUGUUCGAGCGUCAUUUGUACCCUCAAGCUUUGCUUGGUGUUGGGCGUUUUUUGUCUUUGGUUGCCAAAGACUCGCCUUAAAAGGAUUGGCAGCCGGCCUACUGGUUUCGCAGCGCAGCACAUUUUUGCGCUUGCAAUCAGCAAAAGAGGACGGCAAUCCAUCAAGACUCCUUCUCACGUUUGACCUCGGAUCAGGUAGGGAUACCCGCUGAACUUAAGCAUAUCAAA
rnacentral:rRNA from 1 species